rnacentral:snoRNA from 1 species
UGGUCAUUACCAAGGCUUUUAGAAUGCAGUUUCUCAUUUGCUGUGGACAUGACCAUAAAGAAAAAUUCCCAUGAAGUUUUUCAUAUGUUACUACCAGUUGGGAACAUUU